UAACGAAACUGGAUCUUCGGAGAAGAGGUUCACACCUUGCUAUAUAAGAGAUUUCUUUUUUGUGUGUGCCUUCCUAUUUGAGAUCACGAGGCAUGAUGACAAAGGGGUCUCUUUUGUUUAACCCGCCUUAACCCUACGCCUUCCUCCUCCGUCGGUACAGCCGUCGUUGCCCCUUCGGCUAGGACAUGUCGUUUACCAAGUCGAGGACGAGCGUGGCCCAAGCCUAGCGGGAAUUGGAGUUUCCACACCUAAAACUCAUGUUUCGCUGGUUGGGCUACUGUCUAGGUCUAAUACUCUUUUAGUUAGGACAAUUCAAACAGGGUCGUAAUCACCUACCCCUAAAACAACAAAGGCUGAGCAAGCGGUAGUAAAACAUAUACCUUCUGUUCAUAGGAGUCACAGGAGAGAAUGGGGCUCUAGACUUUUUCUUUCGAGAAUUAAACGUCUAACGUUCGUAUCACACAAGUUCGUAGGUCGGAGAAGUCUCGGUACGACAGUAGCCAAGCAUAGAACCGUGUUACCUGUGGUUACUCUCGGAAGUCUACCAAGUUGUAAUAUAACUGUUUCCGAAGUCUCGCUAACUCUGUGAAGACCUUCCUACACUGUCAUUUAUACGGUGGCCUCUACUUCAGGUUUACCGUCUACACAAAAACCGCGGGGUCUAGGUGCGACCACACUGUGCGAAGGUUUAGCUAUACAGUUUCAUGGGAUAAAACCGUUCCGAAGUUCUACGAAUGUUACUCGUAGGACGUAAAGUUCGGCGUGAAGGACGCUUGGUUGGUCUACGAGGAGGUAGGGUCACUUCAUUAGUCCUGGAACUACUGACAUUCUAAAAAGUACAAACUAGCUCUAAGAUACUACAUUGAAGUUUCAGUCUACAAGUACAUUCGUUUCUGGGGACCUACUCGAACUGCUACAACGACAUUUUCACUUAUUUACGUUAAAUAGUAUACACGAGAACAUUUUAAGAUCAUAGUUAUUUCUCUUCCUUUCUUUCUUCUGCUCAGUUCGAGUUUGUAACGGGACAAUUCGGCUUUCUCUGUAGUAACCAAUUGUAUAGUAAAACCGGAAUAGAAGAGAAAAACAAGAAAAGAGAUGGAGGGGACGUUGUUAGUUAGUAUGUGGAUCAGGUUCCACUGAAGUAGAUGGACUGAAAGACCCGGGAUAUAUCAGUUAGACUAUGAGUCCUAAUCCAUCGUAGAAGAUGAGAACAGGGGAACACGAGUGUGGACAAAAGACGUGCCACGAGAGAUACAAGUGUACUCCUCUCCUCUUCCUGUUAGGGAAGAGGCCGAGAGGUAUGGUUAUUUAUAUCAGUCUAUGACGACGUAGCAGAGGUAGAUCAUCACCUCCUUCUCCUCUUUCCCCAUCGUCAGUCGGUACCGCUGCCGGUUCGGGUAGGACAUGCCGCGGACCUAGUCGAGAACGAGAGUGGCACAGGCCUAGCGAGAGUUAGAGUUUCCACACCUGAUGCUCAUAUUCCGUCAGUUAGGAGCCUGUCUAGGUCUGAUACUUUUUUAUUUGGGCUAGUUUAUGUAUGGUCGUAACCAUCUACCCCUGAAACAAGAUAGACUAAGAGAGCGAUAGUACAACAUAGACCUUCUAUUCAUAGGAGUCGUAGGAGAUCAUGGAUUUCUAUAGUUUUGCUUUCCAGAGCUAGAAGUCUAACGCUUGUAUCAAACGAGUUCGUAGGUUGGAGAGGUUCCGAUGCCGCAUUAACCAAAUGUGCUCCCAUCCAACUCGGGGCUACUCUCGGAACUCCACCAAGUUGCAAUAUAACUGUUCCCGAAGUCUCGUUAUCUUUUCGAGAACCUACCUACACUGUCGUUUAUAACGCAACCUCUACUUUAGGUAAACCCUCUACACAAAGAUCGGGGUGUCUAGGUACGGCGGUAGUUAGCGAAGGUCUAACUAUACUGCUUCAUGGGUUAGAACAGCGCUGAAGUGCUGCGCAUGUACCUUUAGGGCCGUAAAGUUCGGCGUGACGGGGUCUUAGUCGGUCUACGUGGAAGUCGUUUUAUUAGUUCUUUAGUUCGGUCAAUGUUGAUAUACGCACAUUAAAGGUGUUAUUACUCCUUACAUCAGACGUUACGUACCUUCUUGGAGAGUAUUCAGUAUUGAAUAGUCCAACAGACUCACAUAUGUGAAACCGCAGGUAGAGCGGCUCCGCGCGCAUGUACGGUACCGCUCGACGGCCGGCCCGGGGCCGCGGUACAUUUAAUUAUAACUAGCUAAGUGGUGGUCACUCUAAACCGUUCUUUUUUCUUUCCACUAAACUGCUUAACUGGACAUAAAUGUUGACUACAAGAGAGAACCUAAACAUAAAUGACGAGCUAUAAAAAGCGCCCCCUAAAUAACGACUACAACUAACCCAUUUAAGCGAGACACAGCGUUCGCCACGGCAAAGGCAACCUGCCGGGGACACUAAAAUGCUCCGGCCUUUCACUAAACACGAAUUUAUGGUAGCUACCUAACUACCACUGGGCGACAGUAAAAGUGGCAUAAUUGUUCACUAGACAAC
rnacentral:rRNA from 1 species